rnacentral:rRNA from 1 species
UACUCUCGACAACAGAUAUCUUGAUGGUCACAUUGAUGAAGAACGAAGCGAAAUGUGAUACUUGGUGUUAAGUGCAGAAUCCCAUGAAUCAUCGAGUCUUUGAAAGCAAGUUGCGCUCAAAGCCAUUAAGCCAAGGGCACGCCUUCCUAGACAUCA